GUGGGGAAUCUUAGACAAUGGGCGCAAGCCUGAUCUAGCGAUGCCGCGUGAGUGACGAAGGCCUUAGGGUCGUAAAGCUCUUUCGCCAGGGAUGAUAAUGACAGUACCUGGUAAAGAAGUCCCGGCUAACUCCGUGCCAGCAGCCGCGGUAAUACGGAGGGGACUAGCGUUGUUCGGAAUUACUGGGCGUAAAGCGUACGUAGGCGGAUUAGUUAGUCAGAGGUGAAAUCCCAGGGCUCAACCCUGGAACUGCCUUUGAUACUGCUAGUCUUGAGUUCGAGAGAGGUGAGUGGAAUUCCGAGUGUAGAGGUGAAAUUCGUAGAUAUUCGGAGGAACACCAGUGGCGAAGGCGGCUCACUGGCUCGAUACUGACGCUGAGGUACGAAAGUGUGGGGAGCAAACAGGAUUAGAAACCCCUGUAGUCC
rnacentral:rRNA from 1 species